UACGUAGGGGGCAAGCGUUGUCCGGAAUCAUUGGGCGUAAAGCGCGCGUAGGCGGCUCGAUCAGUCUGCUGUGAAAGUCAAAGGCUCAACCUUUGAAUGCCGGUGGAUACUGUCGAGCUAGAGUCCGGAAGAGGCGAGUGGAAUUCCUGGUGUAGCGGUGGAAUGCGCAGAUAUCAGGAGGAACACCGAUGGCGAAGGCAGGUCUCUGGGCAUUAACUGACGCUGAGGAGCGAAAGCAUGGGGAGCGAACAGG
rnacentral:rRNA from 1 species